rnacentral:rRNA from 1 species
UACGUAGGGGGCAAGCGUUGUCCGGAUUUAUUGGGCGUAAAGAGCGUGUAGGCGGCCAAGCAGGUCCGCUGUGAAAACUCGAGGCUCAACCUCGAGAGGUCGGUGGAAACCGUUUGGCUAGAGUCCGGAAGAGGAGAGUGGAAUUCCCGGUGUAGCGGUGAAAUGCGCAGAUAUCGGGAAGAACACCGGUGGCGAAGGCGGCCUGCUGGGCAGUAGCUGACACUGAGGCGCGACAGCGUGGGGAGCAAACAGG